CAAAAACCAUAAGGUACGCAUCAUCUCCAUUAUCUUCCCUGUCUUUUCUUCGAUUUCUUCAAAACCUGGAAAGGGAGAGCUCCGAUCAAACCUCUGCUCCUCGAUCUUCCUUCUCUAUUUCAACCGUUGCUAGCAUAGGUGUGCGUGGGACUUUCGGUCACUGGUGCUGGAGCUUCAGAGCACGAUUUCUCCUUUCCCCUGCUUCAUGCUACAAAUCACCCUCUUGCUCGUGGCUCAGCCAUUUGUCCGCCACUGUGGUGGUUCUUUGAGUGCUUUGGGAAGCUAAGUUGCUGGAACUGGAGGUCUAUCUGGCAAGGAACUGACGCUCCACUAGAUAUUGGAUGAAGAACUCAUUGCUUGCUAUUAGAUGUGUGGCACACUAAGAGCGAUAUGUAAACUCUAUUGAAGGUAAAAGGAGUCAUGCUUGGCAAAAUAAAGGAUGAUGUAGGAUUAAGGUUUUUGCAUUGGGCUUGUAUAUUUUGAGCUGUUCAAAAAGAUUAUCUAAAAAGAUAUAUGUAGAGUUGUAUGUAAAGUUAAGAGUUUGAAGCCUUGAAGAGUUGAAGAGACA